UACUGACGCUGAGCUCGAAAGUAUGGGUAGCAAACAGGAUUAGAUACCUGGUAGUCCAUACCGUAAACGAUGAAUGCUAAGUGUUGGAGGGUUCCGCCCUUCAGUGCUGCAGCUAACGCAUUAAGCAUUCCGCUGGGGAGUACGGCCGCAAGGCUGAAACUCAAAGGAAUUGACGGGGCCCGCACAAGCGGUGGAGCAUGUGGUUUAAUUCGAGGUUACGCGAAGAACCUUACCAGGUCUUGACAUACUAUGCAAAUCUAAGAGAUUAGACGUUCCCUUCGGGGACAUGGAUACAGGUGGUGCAUGGUUGUCGUCAGCUCGUGUCGUGAGAUGUUGGGUUAAGUCCCGCAACGAGCGCAACCCUUAUUAUCAGUUGCCAGCAUUAAGUUGGGCACUCUGGUGAGACUGCCGGUGACAAACCGGAGGAAGGUGGGGAUGACGUCAAAUCAUCAUGCCCCUUAUGACCUGGGCUACACACGUGCUACAAUGGAUGGUACAACGAGUUGCGAACUCGCGAGAGUAAGCUAAUCUCUUAAAGCCAUUCUCAGUUCGGAUUGUAGGCUGCAACUCGCCUACAUGAAGUCGGAAUCGCUAGUAAUCGCGGAUCAGCAUGCCGCGGUGAAUACGUUCCCGGGCCUUGUACACACCGCCCGUCACACCAUGAGAGUUUGUAACACCCAAAGUCGGUGGGGUAACCUUUAGGAACCAGCCGCCUAAGGUGGGACAGAUGAUUAGGGUGAAGUCGUAACAAGGUAACCA
rnacentral:rRNA from 1 species